UACAGGGGGGGCAAGCGUUGUUCGGAAUUACUGGGCGUAAAGCGUGCGCAGGCGGUUGUGCAAGACAGAUGUGAAAUCCCCGGGCUUAACCUGGGAACUGCAUUUGUGACUGUACGGCUAGAGUGCGGCAGAGGGGGAUGGAAUUCCGCGUGUAGCAGUGAAAUGCGUAGAUAUGCGGAGGAACACCGAUGGCGAAGGCAAUCCCCUGGGCCUGCACUGACGCUCAUGCACGAAAGCGUGGGGAGCAAACAGG
rnacentral:rRNA from 1 species